GGUACCUUAGCUCAGUUGGUAGAGCAAUGGACUGAAAAUCCAUGUGUCCCCAGUUCAAAUCUGGGAGGUACCA
rnacentral:tRNA from 1 species